GCAGACCCAGACUUUCACCACCUACUCUGACAACCAGCCAGGUGUACUCAUCCAGGUGUGUUCUAGAAUUUUGUGUAGUUUGUAUAAAAAACCCAGGGAAGUUUCUCGCUGUGAUGAUGGAUUCCAAAACCAUUCGUAGUUUCCACCAGAAGUACUGUGUUGGCUAGUUCCUUCCUUGGAUGUCUGAGCGACUGAUCUUCCCCCAAAUUGAGCUUAAGCCACUAUAGUAGUAUUUUCUAUGUGUCUUAAUUUCUCUUGUCUUUCUUAAAGGUGUAUGAAGGUGAAAGGGCCAUGACCAAGGACAACAACCUGCUUGGGAAGUUUGAGCUCACAGGCAUACCUCCAGCACCCCGUGGGGUUCCUCAGAUUGAGGUUACUUUUGACAUUGAUGCCAAUGGCAUCCUCAAUGUUUCUGCUGUAGAUAAGAGCACAGGAAAGGAGAACAAGAUCACCAUCACCAAUGACAAGGGCCGCUUGAGUAAGGAGGAUAUUGAGCGCAUGGUCCAAGAAGCUGAGAAGUACAAAGCUGAGGAUGAGAAGCAGAGAGAUAAGGUUUCCUCUAAGAACUCGCUGGAGUCUUAUGCUUUCAACAUGAAAGCAACUGUUGAGGAUG
rnacentral:lncRNA from 1 species